AACGGUCUUCUUUAGUACCCCUGCUCUGCCUCCGUCUGUCCCCUGUACUUCCCUUCUCUGGUCACACCCUGAGCCCAGGCAUCCCAGCCUCCCUCUCCCUUUCUUGGCCUCAGGUCAAGCUGUGUUAGAGCCCCCUUAUUCAACACCUACCCGAAGCUGACUCUGAAGUCCCCCUGGAGCCCUGCUGCCCGGUCCUCACUCACCUUGCGCAGUUCUGAGCGUCCUGCGUUCUGCUUGAGGACUUGUUCUAUGAAUCGUGAACUGGCAUCAAGCAACUGCUUUGAAA
rnacentral:lncRNA from 1 species